UCCUUUUUCGCUUUUUUUUUUUCUUGUGUUUUUUUUUUUUUUUUGUUUUUUUUUUUUUUUUUUUUUUUUUUUUUUUUUUUUUUUUUUUUUUUUUUUUUUUUUUUUUUUUUUUUUUUUUUUUUUUUUUUUUUUUUUUUUUUUUUUUUGC